CACAGUUCAUCUGUCAGGAGAUCCAUGCGGGCUCAUAUGACAUUCGAUGAGCCUUCUUUGAUCACAGAAGCUGUAGACGGUUACUUAUUGUUGGGUUCAAGAACAAACACAUAUAUAUCCAGAUCAGAAACGGGAGUCUUACAGCUUCUGUCGGUCAACACGAGUGGACAGGAGGACAUGAGAAUGCGUGUGGUCUUUGCUUCAGACUUUACGAGAGACACCCAGCUCUUCACAUGCAUCGAGGUGUGUCUUGUUAUUAUUCUGAGCUCUGGUUAAAAAGUUGGCAAGUCCGGUUCACAGAUUUUGUUGACCUCAGUCUGUUUCGGAGGCAUCAUGUCUGUGCGUGUUACAACAUUAACAUGUUCAGAUACCUUGUCGGAUGACGGAGUAUUUAUUUUCUUGUAGAAUAUUUCCUCGUUUUAUGUAAUUGGAUGUUAUCUUCGUGUCUUUUUUCAUGUCAUGUCUAGUCACGUUAACUUUGCAUUCAUCAGAUCGUUGAAAGCUUCUCUAACUCAUGGAAAUGUUUACAUAUACAUAGUAGCAAUGCAAAUCGCAUGCAUAUAUAGCAGGGUCUGUUCUUAUCUGGUCUAUUUAAUGGCUUUAGAGGGCUUCACUGGAUGGCCAUGCUAGGAGACUGCUACAUAUAUGCUGUAUUUGUUCAAAGCAUGACAAAAGCUUAUUAAGGCAAUGAUUCGAAAUCUACUUUGUGUUGACGGUAGUCAUUGGCCUCCAUUAGUACGGAGAAAAAAAAAUACAAUGGCUACCAUCAACGUUUGGUUACACGCAUUCUAACUGUGUUCAGCUGAAGAAAGAAAAUCCCACAGGUUUAGAACAACAUCGGGGUGAGCGACGUGAAAAAGAAGCAGAAGACCAGCGAACCACCUUAAACUGGAUUAAGCUGUUAUUUAUGUUACUAGCAGAUUGAUCGUGAAUGUUUGUAUAUGCACGUUCAACAAAUCACUUUAGCUCGAAAUGACGGAAAAGUUCGACUGUUUUGAUUAUGCUGUUUAAUUGAAUUUUAGAUUUCAUUUGUUUUCACAGUCUCUUGCAGCCUGACAUGUAUUCUGCUAAACCGCAAUGACAUUGUGUUGAUUCAGUUCGUUCUUGUUAUAAAGUCAGAAAUGAAAUCUAAACAUAUUCCUCUCUACUCUGCAUCGCCAGGCGUUACUGUGAGCUAAAUUUGCCAAUUAACGUGUCUGAAAUGUUUUGGUGCCGUAUCUGAAAUUAAUGAGAUCGUGUUUUGGCAAUCGGCGGACGGGAACAGACAAUGAAGCCAGGUCAUCUGGGAAAUGAUUAGCACAUUUUGAAGAGCUCACCAGAGAGGAGAAACCCACAAUGGUGCUGUUCCAAACAUGUACAGGCUGUUCUUCCACUCCUUCGAAUGAUUGGACAUCGUAUCAAACUUCCCUUGCAGUGGAUGAACCGCAUCUCUCCCUUAAAUAAAACUCUGAGGCAGUCCGUUUAUCACAAUGAUUUAUACCUCUUUCCCUGACGUGAACGAAUAAAGAAUGGAGCUCGUGCCAACAACAGCCUAUUUCAAUGAUUCACUGUCCAUUCAGGUAGUGAGAGACAUUCCCAAGGACAUAUAACCAGAUUUUCAGUGUUGCUGCUUCCAUGACGGAGGAAAGACAGAUUUGUAUAAAAUUUGAUAACUGCCUUUGGCUCUAGAAACAAUGUGAUAUAUUUCCUCCAGUCAAAAUACAUCAUUCUGUUUUUCCAACGUUUACCAACCCAGAAUGCACUAAAAUGACCAUAAGAUUUGCUACACCGGUGGCAAUAAGAGAACGUUUUUGUAUGAUCUGCACACAAACUGCUGAAGAUUCGGUUUCGCAAACAAAACCAGCAAAAACCUUAAAAGGCCUGUUGGCUUCACACAUAAACUAAACAACUACCUGAUUUCUCGAAAGUGCGUAUAAGCAGAACGCCAAAUGAAAAUGAAAACGCGCGCACAUGCCACGUGAUCGGUAGGAUAAAGAUUGCGAGAUAGAUGUGUACCACAUCCACGCGGAAAAACUGCGUAUCACAAAUAUUCGUUUUUUUUAUCUGCCGUACGAAUUGUACACAUUUUUAUCUUCAUACAAUCAGAUGAACCCUAAAAAAGCGUUAUUGUUUUAUGUAACAGCACCAAUUCCAGGCAUGUAGCUGAAAGCUAAAAUAAAGACAUAGAAAUUUACUGGUUGACCAGCUUUCUUUGCAAUAUGACGAGAAAGGUGUUUAACCCUCA